rnacentral:rRNA from 1 species
GACGAACGCUGGCGGCGUGCUUAACACAUGCAAGUCGAACGGAAAGGCCCAGCUUGCUGGGUACUCGAGUGGCGAACGGGUGAGUAACACGUGGGUGAUCUGCCCCUGACUUUGGGAUAAGCCUGGGAAACUGGGUCUAAUACCGGAUAUGACCUUACAUCGCAUGGUGUUUGGUGGAAAGCUUUUGCGGUUGGGGAUGGGCCCGCGGCCUAUCAGCUUGUUGGUGGGGUAAUGGCCUACCAAGGCGACGACGGGUAGCCGACCUGAGAGGGUGAUCGGCCGCACUGGGACUGAGACACGGCCCAGACUCCUACGGGAGGCAGCAGUGGGGAAUAUUGCACAAUGGGCGCAAGCCUGAUGCAGCGACGCCGCGUGAGGGAUGACGGCCUUCGGGUUGUAAACCUCUUUCACCAGGGACGAAGCGUGAGUGACGGUACCUGGAGAAGAAGCACCGGCCAACUACGUG